rnacentral:rRNA from 1 species
GCGACCCCAAGUCAGGUGGGAUCACCCGCUGAAUUUAA